AGAUAUGAUCCAGAGUACCACGGGACACGUGAAACCCUGUGGGAAGCAGGAGGGACCACCCUCCAAGGCUAAAUACUACCUAGUGACCGAUAGCGUAUAGUACCGUGAGGGAAAGGGGAAAAGAACCCCGGGAGGGGAGUGAAAUAGAACCUGAAACCCUGCACUUACAAGCUGUGGAAGCACAUUUCUUGUGUGACCGCGUACUUUUUGUAGAACGGGCCAACGAGUUACGUUAAGUAGCAAGGUUAAGCACUUAAG
rnacentral:rRNA from 1 species